rnacentral:misc_RNA from 1 species
GAGAAGAACGCAGCGAAAUGCGAUAAGUAGUGUGAAUUGCAGAAUUCAGUGAAUCAUCGAAUCUUUGAACGCACAUUGCGCCCUUUGGUAUUCCUUAGGGCAUGCCUGUUCGAGCGUCAUUUAAACCUUCAAGCUAAGCUUGGUGUUGGGUGACUGUCCGCUUCACUGCGGACUCGCCUCAAAAUUAUUGGCGGCCGGUACAUUGGCUUCGAGCGCAGCAGAAACGCGAACUCGGGCCCGUCGUAUUGGCUCCCAGAAGCUAUCUUCACAAUUUUGACCUCGGAUCAGGUAGGGAUACCCGCUGAACUUAAGCAUAUCAAUAAGCGGAGGA